rnacentral:lncRNA from 1 species
GGACCUUCUAUCAAACAAAUACUCCAGUCCAUAGAUGAAGUUCCACACUAUACCCUGGAAGCUGACAACUCUGCUUGAGAACAGUCACCAUCAUGGGUAUCACCGACCCAACUCUGGACAACAUGCUGCAUCCAUGAACUGUUCACAGAACUCUGGAAAAACCUUCUUUCAUUAAGCAAACAUCUUAAUAAAACGACCUGCCCUCUCCUGCUGUGCAUGUGCAUUGCACACACAGUGGUAAGGCUAAUUGUGCUUAUCCUGACAUGAAUGUCCACAGAGGACUCUGGGCACAAUUCUACCACACUAGCAGCAGAUGUGAGUCACUGGAAUAAGUUCUUCAUCAGUAAAGGUGCUGAAAUGUGGAGUCCAAGAGAGCCCCGGCUCUGCACAGAGAAGACAUCUGGGAGAUGCUAAUUGAAGACUGAAGAAAAAUGAGAGCAAUUCCAUGGUCUCUGAUCUAAAUUAUACAUUCACCCUCUCCUGGCUCUUUGAGACACAUAAUAGAUGAAUAAAAAGAGCAAAACUUUGGAGCAUUAAUUCUUAAAACGCAGGCAGGGGAUUCUGCAUCCAGGUCCUCCUGUUUGUCUCUGACUUCCUCUUGACGGAUAGAAA